rnacentral:rRNA from 1 species
CGUAGGGUGCAAGCGUUGUCCGGAAUUAUUGGGCGUAAAGAGCUCGUAGGCGGCUUGUCACGUCGACUGUGAAAACCCGGGGCUCAACUCCGGGCCUGCAGUCGAUACGGGCUGGCUUGAGUGCGGUAGGGGAGACUGGAAUUCCUGGUGUAGCGGUGAAAUGCGCAGAUAUCAGGAGGAACACCGGUGGCGAAGGCGGGUCUCUGGGCCGUAACUGACGCUGAGGAGCGAAAGCGUGGGGAGCGAACAGGAUUAGAUACCCUGGUAGUCCACGCCGUAAACGUUGGGCGCUAGGUGUGGGACCCUAUCCACGGGUUCCGUGCCGCAGCUAACGCAUUAAGCGCCCCGCCUGGGGAGUACGGCCGCAAGGCUA